UGAGCGAUCGAUCAGGAUCGCCUAUCACCCCAUCACCACCCAGAAAGAGAGGACGGGGUGUGUUCCCAGGUGCCUGCUCUGGAGUCCGACGGAUCUGGCCGCAGCCUGAGAAGAAUGGAAACUCCAGGACGGCCACCAAGUCCAGCAUCCCUGGGAGGGGCCCCAGCCGCCGGCUGCCUUGGAGACAGACACACCAUCUCCAGGUCCAAACGCUCUCGGCCUCAAAGAGCGGAACAAAUCCCGCAGGGGUAUUGAUUGAAACCACUACGGAUUCGUGGAGACAACACGCCGGCCCGGAAUGAAGUCAGCCGCCACUGCCUAUUUCCAUAAGGAAUAACACAUCGAAAUGUUGGAGUGAGAAAAGUUGAAAAGCAAUCUGUCUAUAAAUAAAGACCGCAGACAUCCUGACAUUUUACGAUGUGGGGAUUUCAGCAAGAACUUCUCCUUUGGACACAUCGCCCAAGGGACCAUGUUCAAACUCCGAUUUCCUGGAA